AUGUUAAGAGAAACGACAUCCCACAUUCUUUGUAUCUUCCUGAAAACUCUCAUCUUCAUAGGUUUAGUGAAAACUCAAAUAGAUCAGCCUAAAGAGACCCAAGUACCUGCCGGCGAAGUGACUGAAAUUCCAUGUAAUCACAGCAUUGCUAAUACUGAUUUGAUGUAUUGGUAUCAAUUUAGUUUAGGGAAGACUCCGGUACUGGUGAUUAGCGGAUAUACAUCAGCUGAACCAAAGGGCAGGUUUGAAAUGAAAAUAGACAACAAAAAGAAGCAAACCAUUCUUGUAAUCAAGUCAUCUCAUGUGAAAGACUCAGCCGUUUACUACUGUGCAGUGAGAGACACAGUGACACAGAUGUACAGGAAAUGUGUUCAAAAACUGUAUAAGGGAACUCACAUAGUAUCUAUAAGAUGA